rnacentral:lncRNA from 1 species
CCAAAGCCCACGCAUAAGUUUCUAGUUUAACUCACUCUCCUUCUACUAUCUCACCCGCAAAUGGCACCUCAUGCCAAUCGUCUCGCCGAUAUCGGAAGGGAGGGUUUUGCUCUAGUGGACAGAUUUUAUGGUGAAGGGACAUCGGGUCCAGUACCAAAGAAGCAAUACAAAGGCCCAAAGCAGUAUGCUUCUGUUCCCAGUGACAAGAACGCAAUCGAUAGCAAGAAGGCCGCCGAAAAGUACAAAGGAACUGUGGUCACGAAGUACUACAAGAAGUUUAUUGGCUGGCGUUUCUAGGUUCUAGCACUGUAAACAUGUAAUGGUUCGAGUGACUUCCUAGAAGGUAGAGGUAACCGGAUGAAUAAGUCCUUGUCAUGGUUUUCACGGUUUUCCUCAGUCACUUCGAACUCUAGUACUGUGUUUAUGUAUAUCUUUUGUUUUUCAGCUUUCUGAAGUUUAAUUGUAUGCUUGGACAUGUCUAAGCUUUUAAUUGGACCCAUUUUACACUAUAUUCGACUUUUUAUUCCUCUCUUUGAUAAAAUUUAUGUCAAUCUAUGGUAUACUCGGACACUGACCGGUAUGAAAAGAGGACUUCAAUCGUUUUCAAAGUGAAUGACCACAACUUAAAGAACUCGCCAAUUUUCUGCUCCAAGGACUGUCCAAGAACUAGCAGGCCAUUGGACACUCUGGUUCUAUUGCUGACUUGCUGCUGCAUGAUUGAAUUCAUAAUCUUGAGUAAUAUUUUCUAAGGACUCGCCAAAGAUGAACCAUCCAAUUACGCAAGAUACGGUAGUAAAUCCAGCUGGCGCUUGCAACAUAUAACUACACAGAUGGACCAUUCUUUGACUUUUUUUGGUGCAAUUGCAUUCUUUCUCUUGUCUAGGAUGCUAAACUAUUUUCUAGGAUCAAAUAUCACUACUAUUGUAGCGGAAAAAUAUGUCCAAUAACUUCCUAGAUAUGUCACGAAUUAUUCACCUCUUAUUCAUAAAUUACAAGCAGCGAGCAUAAAAUAUUAGGGAUCUGCAUACUAACAAGCACAAGUUAUUUUCUUUUCUUUCUUGGAUGAAAGCGUGAAUAGUGAAUCUAAGUUUUUCAUCUAAACCAAAAGAACGACAAGAAUGAACGAAGGGGAACAGCUGAUGCACCACAUAUCAGGUUAACUCCAGGGGGUUCCUCAACUCAAAUAUGCAAAGAUCACUGAUCUCUAAGGCUCCAUCCACUUUUGACCAAAAAGGUUGAAUUUCUGAACCAUUUUGAGGGCUUUUGACGAAGUGUCUUCAAUCUGUUGGUACCCCGGGCUGGUACAGAUGAAGUAUGUGGCUCUUUGGCGGAGAAGUUGACUUCUCCAAGAGAGAAUCAUAUGACUGGAAGGCCGUGAAAAAAGAAUCUUGAAACACUGAGCAAAAUUCCACCUAGAGACUAUCAAUGUGGUGAACCAAUAUUGUUAUUGCAGGCAUGCCAAACCGCUUUUCGAUCCCUCCAAAACCACCAAAGAUCUUAAAGUCUAUAACCGGAGGUACGAUUGCUGGCAGUCAGUUUUAGACUUUACCAUUAAAGGUAGCUAGGUCGGAGCAGGCCUUGUGUAACACCCUCGAUUCCAACCCUAUGAGGAUCGGCCAUAAAGUCCUGAAUGGAUCGACCAUGAGCCAUUGGCUAUGGGAUCGAUUGGUUUGAUCGGUAAGGAAUCAAUGAUUGGUCAUGGUCCAAUCGGCGGAUCGACCGGGCAAGAAUUGGUCGAGAUGUCGGCCGUGAAUUGUCUACCGACCAUAUCGAUGGAAUAGGAUUACCAGCUCAUAAGAUGAAUUUUUGAUAACGAGGAUUGGUCAUAGGGUGAUUUUGGAUUGGCGGAUGAUCAUGGGUCGAUCCGAUUGAUUGUAAUGCCCGGCCAUGAGUGCUUCUGCCCGACUAUGCACCGAUACACAGAUGAUGCGACUUUAUAAAUGUGAUUGUCUUUGUCGUGACCAAAAUUUUUCGGGUGUGAACCACCUAGAGUUUGGCUAACGGAUUGUUAAGUCUAAACUUAACUCGGGCUCUCCCAAGCCCAUAUCAAUUCGCGACUUACGUUCAAGUUCUUAACAUGCAAUUGAUUUUUUAAUCAGGAGUCGUCACUAAUAUAUUUUUUUGGUGGGUCGAUUAGAAACCCAAGUAAAGUAACGGGAUUUUCACUUUACUCCUACGAACCAGAGACUAUGGGUACGGGGACUUGGUUACACUAGAUUUCUCUAAUGCCCUUUCGGUACCAUUCUUUUAUUUUCAAAAAAUGUUUUUGCAGGCAGCUUAAAUUGAUUUUAAAUCUAUUUUACUAACAUGUGAGGUGAUCAUGCAGGUGCGCAAUCCACCAAUUUAACACCUAGAUAAACAAUAAAUAAAUUGCAAAAAGUUACCUCAAAGCAACGAAAGCAUCUGCAAUGUUAAGUUAAAAACCGUAUCAACAACCUUAGAUAUGGUUUCUAAUUACCACGCAAUUUCUUUUUUUGUUUUCACUUAAUUAAUGAAAAUCAUGCAAUAUGCAAUGCAAUAUUAACUAAAUGACCUAAUUCUAAUGACAUGCAAUUUCUAGUUAAAUAGGCCUAGCAAAAAUACUAAAUGACAUGCAUCCCAGUGAAUCUAGCCCUAAUGACGUGCAUAUGCCAUUUUUCUCUUUUUCCUAAAAUAAUGCAUUUUAUCAUAAACAAUAAAACUAAUUUAACCUAUGGCAUUUUUUUUUGUAUUUUUCAGGUGAAAUGUGAAAAUUACCUAAUUAGAUUAAGAUCCUAUUUAAUUUAUGUUAGGAAUUAGGUUGAGCCAAAUCCUAAUUUAAACUAAAACAUUAUCUUAACCUAAAUAAUCCUAAAAUGCAAUAUAUCUAAAAAAUACCUAAACUUAUAACAAAUUAAGAAAAAAAUAUUAUCUAGAAUUGAACUAAGUGAAAUUUAGUCCUAAUACGCAAUAACGUGCAAAAUAUGCUUUAACACUACAUGACAUGUAUAUGAUGAUUUUUUUUUUGUUUUUGUUUAAUUUCGAAAUUAAUAAUUGCCAAAUAAUUAAACAUGCAAUCCAAAUUAAAAAUCUAGCAACCUAAAUUGAUUGAUUUGAUUUUUAUUUUUAUUUUUGAUUUUAAAAUUUGAAAUAAGAUUCCUAUUCUAAAUAUGUAAGCCCUAAAACAUGCAAUAUUAUAACCCAAACACAUUUCAAGAUAAACAAAGCGAUCAUGACAAGCUAAACCAAGGAUAUCACACAUCAUUCAGAUCAUAGGUAAAAUUUCGCUAGUAAAAUCGAUAAAUUGAUCUUAAGCCUUAAAGAUCAAAAUAUCAAUUUUAUUCCCGCUUGAUUAAUUAUUUCAUCUAAAGCCUUAUAGACGAAAUAAAAAUCCAAGCGCGGUUGCAAAUCAGGUGAUAUGUUGGAAUUUCCAAUCAUAUAUUAAAGACUAAUUAUAUUGAAAAAACAAGAUAAAGUAAAAUAAAAUAAAAUAAAAUAAAAAGAAAAAACUACCUGAUGUGCUUUUUUUUUUUUUUUUUCUUUUUUUUAAAGCAAAGAUGAUGGUUGCUCCAGUAAGGGGAUUCGCCGGCAGUGGACUUCGGCGAGAGCAGCAAGGGUAGCUACUGGCGAGGGACUCUGGCGAAGAAGGGCGACAGUGAGCAUCGGUGGGGGAGGCUCUGGUGGUGUCGGGUUGCGGCAGGGACAGCAACGCGGCGGCGGCUGAGUGUUGGGCGGAGGCGAGUAGGGGCGGUGUGGUCUCCGAGUUGCGGGCUUCAAAUGGUGGGGCGUUAUAGGGACGGCAGGGGGCCUCGGGCAGCUGGUGCGGUGAGGUCGGGAGCGGCAGGCUUCGGAGCUCCGGCAUCGACUGGGCAGGAGCGCGAUCGUCGGGGCGAACCUCGCGAGCGGAGCAGGGGCGUUGUAGUGGCGUGGCUUCGGUGAGGGCGGGAGUGCGGUCGUCGGGACGCCUGGCGUUCAGUGCUGCUGGUGCGGAGUGACGAGGAGUGGCGAAUGGAGUGGCUGUGUUGCUGCGCGUCAGGGGCGAAUCCAGCGAGGCGAUGGUGGUGGAGGCGCGGUGGUGCUCGGGGGGAGUGGCGAGACCGGUGGCAGGGCGUCGCGGGUCGCUGGCGUCGAGUUGCGUGGAGCGGGAGCAGCAGCAGCGUCUUGGUGUCAAGGCAGCUUCGGCGGCAACCGGCGCAGCGGAGGCCGGCAGGUGGAACGGUGAGGGGAGACUCGGAGAAGAUGAUGAGCAGGAGCUUUUUUUUUCUUCUCUCUCUUCUCUCACGUCACUUCCUACGUCUCCUCUCUCUGUCUCAUCUCUCUGCUGUAUUUUCUUUUUGACUUUUGACUUCUCCCUUCUCCCCAAAACAAAAGAAUUGAUUUUCUUUGGGGUUUUUGAGCUUAAAAACCCGAAAGAAAAAGCACUCCUCACGUUUUUUGCUCUGAAAAUUCUUUCUUGAAUUCACUCUCGAAUUUUUUUGAAAAUCGCCCCCCUCAUACGAAAAAUGAAGCUCUCUUUUAUACUAAUUCCAAACGGCCGCUUUGUAUGGCAUUUUUCGAGUUUUCAUCUUCUGUCGCAUUAAAUCAAAGCUGCAAAUCAGAGCAUGAUUUCGCAAUCAGCUCAAUCUUGUUCAGAUUUCUUCAAUUUUGCAAAAUUCUUGCCUCUUAUUCACUUGAUUUUAAAUUGCUUCUACAUUUAAUAAAAUUCGAAUGCUCAUCAAAAUUUCAAAUUUCCAUGCAUAAUCAAUCAAAUAAAUUUCCCCUAUUUUUUUUUAUUUUUUUCCUUUUAUUUGUUCCAAUGCAAUUUUUAUUUUCCUUAUUUUCCUAAAUUUGCUAAAAAUAGGUGUCAACAGCUGCCUCUCUUUGAAGGUGAGCUUGUAGAGGUUGCCUUCAAAGACAACUUGAGACCUAAAUGUUGAUCAUGUAGAUGUACUGAGUGACUCUUUUUUUUUUUUUUAAAUGAAUCCCAUUUGGAAAUGAAAUUUAUAUGAUGCAUGGAAAUGUUAAUGCAAAUGAUAAAGGAACUUACCUGGAAUUACUUACCUUCGGGGAUGGUAGAGUAACUUAAGAUAGAUUGGUGUUACAUGUCAAGGACCCGUACUAUUCUACGGUCGCCCGGAAUAAUAACAUGACUUCACAAAGUGACUGCUUUCCCAGGACCCGUACCAUUCUACGGUCGCUUAGUAUGGCAUUGUUUGGUUAUGUCUAGGACCCGUACCAUUCUACGGUCGCCUAAACGAAAAAAAUGAUUUUCCAGGACCCGUACCAUUCUACGGUCGCCUGAAUGAAAAAAGAUUUUCCAGGACCCGUACCAUUCUACGGUCGCCUGAGUUGAGGUUGUCUAGGACUCGUACCAUUCUAUGGUUGCCUAAACAAAAAAAAUGAUUUUUCAGGACUCGUACCAUUCUACGGUCGCCUGAAUGAGGAAAUUGCUUUUUCAAGACCCGUACCAUUCUACGGUCGCCUGUUAGAGCAAUAAAUGUUGUCUAGGACCCGUACCACUCUACGGUCGCCUAGACUAAGGUUUUGCUUGGCUAGGACCCGAACCAUUCUUCGGUCGCCCAACCUUGCGACAGAAAUCAUCCGACCAGGACCCAAACCAUUCUUCGGUCGCCUUAAUCAAAUUGAAUCUGGAGGAAAAGUCUUUGGGGGACAACUCAAUUGAGUGUCGGUAUGCUUAAAAGGGAAUACCUGUGCAAUGACAAAUAUUCAAGGUAUGGAUAGAGAUAUACUUACCUGGUAAUAUCUCCGAUCUUCAAAGAUACGUCUCCUACAAAACAUGGUCGUAGGAGAGAAAACAUGCAUUUGUAAUCAUAAACAUGCAUCAAUAUAAUGGAGGUUAUGAUGAUUUCCAUUAAUCUUGCAUCACCUAAUUUCCAUUCUGAAUACAUGAGUGUCAUGAAUGUGUCAAAUGAGGGAUCCUUUGGUCUGAAAGGACUUUUUCUCUCAUCCUCAUUAAAAUGGCAAUUUCAUCAUGACCUUUGAUGUAGGAUUUUGUCAAUCACUCUAUCUCACCAUCGUCAUGCCCAAACCAGGGUUUGAGCAAUCUCGCAAGUGGUACGAUCUUAUCAAUUUGAGAGGUCUUUAACAAGGACCAUAAUGUGGGCCUGGUCAACGGCUUAACAAAAGGGACUCUUUGAGUCAAGGCUUUUGAAAGAAUGAGUGAUAUCUGUAAUCAUCUCUGGGUUUACAAGUCAAGAACCUUGCAAAAUGAGAAAGAAAUAAUCUUGCUCGCACUUCUUCGAGCGAUGCUUAAAACAUGUGAACCCCUAGGUUAAUUCAAGUGCCUUAAUUUGAAGAGACUUUUGCAAGGGACGUAACGUAGGCUUGGCUCAUAGGUUCAGAAAUGAAAGGAUCAUUUGGCUCAAAAAGUGUUUAUGGGGUCAAAGUUGGUGAUCAUCUUAACAUUUCAAACAAUUUUCCUCCCCAUCAUCGAAGAUUUUCUUCACAUCACAACUCCACCGAUUGCAACAUCUUAACAUUUGAGUUUUUUUUUUUUGGGUACCACCUUGUUGGGGAUACGACUCACUUCAUCAAGUGUUUGAUUUUUUUUCUUUGGGCAUUGGCCUUGCUUUUACCAGGCACACUGCUUUUCAUGCCCCAUUUUUUGCACUUUUUUUUUGGACAAAGUCUCCAUUUUUAUUAGCAUUGUAAAUCAUGCUAUUUGAGUGGUUUGAUUUUUCUUUCCUUGCCCCAGUGUGGGGGAUGAUCACCAAUUGGGUUUAAAGAAAUGAAAAUUGCAGGCUCAAGUGGGCUAUGCAAUGGGUAUAAGUAUGUAGGAUAGAGAAAGAAAUGCUCUUCGUCAUCCUAAGAUACUUAAGUUAACCCAUGAAUUCAAUGCAAUAGCACGACUUAAAGAUUGAUGAAAGUGAGAGCUAGAAAAUUUCAAUUCAUUUUUCUCACCUCAUGAUGCCAUUUUAUCUCCCAUUUGCCCCAAUGUGGGGUGAUUCUUGACAGGGGUAAUUCGAAAAGAAUAUCCAUAAGUGUAUGGGCUCAAAAGGGUUAAGCAAUGGAUCACCUAUAGUGUUUGGGAUAGAGAAACGAAUGCCUCUCAUCACCUUGGUUGACGUACCCUUUGCGAGAUAGCCCUCUUCCUUGCGGGCAUUGAAUUUUUCACACAACUCACUAGGGGUUAGUGUAUGAAACAGUGUAUGGAACAAGGCUUGCCUUUCAUCAUUCCAAAGUAUCCCAUUUGACACAUUCAAUUUAUCUCACACAAUUCAUCAAGGGAGAAAAAAUGCAAGAUUUGCAAUAAAAUUGAACAAUCGAACUCAUUGAAGCAAUUUAUUCAUCAUUGAAAUGCUUGCAGUUCAAAACAUGACAUUGAAAAUUCUAUCAUGGGUAAUACUUCUUGACAGCAUCUGAAUUAACAGGAGUGGAAAACUCAUGACCAUCCAUUUCUGCUAAUAUCAAGGCACCGCCAGGAAGUAUCUUCUUUACCACAUAUGGGCCGCUGUAGUUUGGAGCAAACUUGUCUCCAAGAUCCGGAAAGAUCGGCAAUAGCUUUCUUAGGACUAGGUCAUUUACCUCGAAAUGCCUUGGCCGCACCUUCCGGUUGAAAGAUUUGGCUACUCUCUGUUGAUACGCUUGGCCAUGGCAGAGAGCUUUCAAUCUUUUCUUAUCGAUCAAGUUCAACUGCUCGAAUCUUUGUUGUGACCAUUCCGCCUCAGACAACUCCACUUGGGAUAAAAUCUUCAGAGAAGGAAUUUCCACUUCUAUAGGUAGAACUGCCUCCAUGCCGUACACCAAAGCAAACGGGGUUGCCCCAGUAGAAGUGAGGAUCGAUGUCCGAUACGCCAUUAGUGCGAAAGGUAGCCUGUCAUGCCAAUCUCGAUAGUUCACGACUGUCUUAGCCAAAAUCUUCUUAAUGUUCUUAUUGGCCGCUUCAACGGCCCCAUUCAUUUGAGGGCGAUAAGGAGACAAAUUUAGAUGCUUGAUUUUGAACUCUUUGAACUACUCAUCAACAAGUUUGUUAUUCAAAUUGGUCCCAUUAUCAGUGAUGAUUGCUUUAGGGACACCAUAGCGAGCAAUUACAUCACAUUUAACAAACUUCACAACAUUAUGAGCAGUGACACUUGCAAAGGAUGUAGCUUCGAUCCAUUUGGAGAAAUAGUCUAUUGCCACCAAAAUGAAUCGAUGUCCAUUUGAAGCCUUGGGAUUGAUUGGGCCAAUCACAUCAAUACCCCACAUCAAGAAAGGCCAUGGCUCUGAAAACUGAUGCAGCUCAGUUGGAGGAACAUUUAUCUUAUUUCCAUGAAUUUGGCAGCGGUGACAACUUCGAACAUGCCGGAUGCAGUCACUUUCCAGUGUGAGCCAGUAGUAGCCUAACCUCAUAAUUUUCUUGGCUAACAUAUGUCCAUUCAUAUGUGGGUCACAUACUCCUUCAUGCACUUCUUGCAUGAUUUGAGUGGCUUUGACUGCAUCUAUACAUCGCAACAAGACAGAAUCGUAAGACCUCUUGUACAAAUUCUCACCACUGACGAAAAAUUUCGAGGCCAUCUUCAUGAUGUACUUCCUAUUAGCUUGAGUGCUUCCUUCGGGGAAUUCUUGUUUUUUAAUGUAAUUCAUGAUAUCGUAAUACCAUGGUUUUCCAUCAAGUUCUUCAAUCACAAUCAUACAAUAAGCUGGCUUCGGCAAAACUUCUAUUUUCAGGGGUUCAACCUCCAACCCAUCAGUGACUUGCAGCAUAGAGGACAACGUCGCCAGUGCAUCUGCAAAUUGAUUAUGAGACCUCGGCAAGUAUUGAAACGAAACUUCCUCGAAUUCUUUCACCAGAUUUUCUAAAUACUUAUGGUAUGGAAGUAACUUGGCAUCCUUGGUCUUCCAUUCUCCCACGGUCUGCAGUAUGAUUAGUGCGGAAUCUCCGAACACUUUUAACUUAACCACACCCAUCUCAAUUGCUGCUUGAAGCCCGAGGAUGCAAGCUUCAUACUCGGCCACAUUGUUAGUGCACGGAAAUAUCAAUUUUGCAGCUACCGGAUGGUGUUGUCCAUCUGGAGAUAUCAGAACUGCUCCAGUACCCGAACCGGAUAGGUUUACAGCUUCAUCAAAGAACAUCUUCCAUGAGUCUUCAUUUACACUCAAGACAUGGUCAUCAAGGAAACUGUCAUCAUCAUUAAGGACUCUUGAAUUCUCGGCCAAUAGAUCAGCAAUCGCUCAGCCUUUAACCGACUUUUGUGGCAUGAAUUGCACAUCAAAUUCCGAAAUCAAGAUUUGCCAUUUGGCUAACUUACCUACCAAAGCUGGUCGAUCAAGUAAGUACUUGAUAGGGUCGUUCUCAGUCACGAGGAAUGUUUGAUAAUGUAGUGUGUAUUGUCGUAACCUAUGCAACACCCACACCAAUGCCACACAAGUCUUUUCAACCUCAGAAUACUUCAACUCGAAUACGGUGAACUUCUUGCUGAGAUAAUAAAUGGCCCGUUCUUUUCUAUCAACAGGACUUUCUUAAGCCAACAUUGCGCCUAAUGAAUCACUAUGAAUAGUGAGGUAGAGAAUCAAAGGAUGCCCCGGUGAGGGUGGGACAAGAACUGGUGGGUUCAUCAAGUAUUGCUUCAGCUUGUUGAACGCUUCUCGACACUCAUCAUCCCAGUUGACUUGUGCAUUCUUCUUUAGAAGCUUGAAGAACGGCUUGGCAGUUUCAGAGAGUUGAGAAAUGAACCUUGCUAUGUAAUUCAAUCUCCCUAAAAGGCUCCGGACUUCUUUCACCGUUGAUGGAGGUUGCAAUUCACAUAUGGCCUUAGCCUUGGAAUGGUCGAUCUCAAUCCCUUUAUUGCUCACAAUAAAUCCGAGUAAUUUACCGGAUGUUGCUCCGAACACGCAUUUAGCGAGAUUUAGGUGAAGCUUGAACUCACGAAGUUGAUCGAACAACUUCUUCAAUGUUUCGAUGUGGCUUCUUCUUGGUCGGGUCUUCGCAAUCAUAUCAUCAAUAUAGACUUUAAUCUCAUUAUGCAUCGUAUCAUGAAAUAAUGCAACCAUGGCUCGCUGGUAGGUUGCCUUUGCAUUCUUGAGUCCGAAAGGCAUGACUUUAUACUGAAAGGUUCCCCAUGGGGUAAUAAAUGCAGUCUUUUCCUUGUCUUCCUCCUUCAUCCUUAUCUGAUUGUACCCAGAAAAACCAUCCAUAAAUGAGAAUAGUUCAAAGCCAGCAGUACUAUCCACAAGGACAUCUAUGUGUGGUAAUGGGAAAUCAUCUUUUGGACUAGCCUUAUUCAGAUCCCGAUAGUCAACACAAACUCGAACUCGACCGUCCUUCUUCAUCACCGGCACGAUAUUAGCCACCCAUUCAGGGUACUGUGAGACUUCAAUAAACCCCACAUUCAAAAGCUUCAUCACCUCUUCCUCUAUCUUCUUUGAGAGUUCGGGCUUAGUCCUCCGCAUCCUUUGCUUCUUAGGUGGCACAUCUGGAUUAGUAGGUAGGCAAUGCUCCACGAUUGACGGGUCUAGUCCAGGCAUGUCAGCGUAGGUCCAUGCAAAAAUGUCUUGAUAUUCCUUCAGUAAUUGAAUUAGGCGCUCAGCCUCAUCUUUGGGGAGACUCGCCCCAAUUUUUACUUCUUUGGCUUCUUCAAUGUCACUCAAAUUAAUAGUGACGGUCUGCUCAGAUGUGAGAGCUUUAGCUUUUUCAUGUUGUUCCCAGCUAUAUUGCACUUCAAUAGUCUUUGAUCGAGUCUUUAGGAUCAUCAUCAUUAGCACUUGUUGCAGUGGAUUGGACCAUUUCUACAUCUUUGCAUGCCAUAGGAUUGUUCCUGAAACAUGAGGUAGAUAAAUUAGAAAGACAAACAGAGUAAUCAACAUCUUUGCUUUUUUUUUUUUUUUAAAUCUUUGGCAAAACAUUUUUUUUGGAACAUUUUGACAUGAGGAAGCAUGAUGAAGCCUAGGCCUCAGAGUUCUCCUUGGAUUUUUCUUUUCUUUUAUCGGUUGGAUAUCAUCACCGGGCUGGUUUGGUGUACCUCAUCAUGCCCUCAAAAUAAAAUUUGUAAUUUCAUUGAAAUUCAUCAAUCGAUUACAUUUAUUGAAUGAAAAAAAAAUGCAACACUCAAUCAAUAAAAGAAGAAACUAAAAUCAUCAUUCAGAAAAUAAUAGAAAUUCCCACGCAAGGGAAUGUGCAAAAUCAAUAAAAUAGUUACUCUUGUGGGCCAAGGCCCAUCUCUUCAGGGGUCCUUCAUUAAUGGCUCCUAUGAUGAGGUUGUUGAAUAAGCUUGCAACUCCUUCCAGCUCAUCAUCAGGGUUCUCUGCUUUCGGGGGUGUCGGAUCAUCCAUGCCACCCCAUCCAUCUGGGACUAUCUCACUAGGAUCAAUGUAGUAGCUAGGAGGGGUUGAAUACUUCACCAGGUAAUCAAACUUGCCACUAGGCUGCCCCAAAGUGUCUAUCACUUCCGCUUCUUCAUGCAUCAUUCUUGGAGGACCAGGGAAUGUCUCGUGAAUGCUCGGGGGUAGUGGGUUUUGCCUCCCUCGCCCUUGGUUAGGUGGCGAGUUCCGCCUUUCUUGUCUUCGUCCUUCAGAACUUCCCCCACCUCGUCCAUGGUACCCUAAACCAGCAGAACGGAACCUCUGAGGGGCUUCAAUGGGGCUUCGAAUGCCCUGACCAUUUCUCCUAAGACCAUUGCCAGGGACGAAACCAUUCCCAACCAUUACUCUUCCCACCAUGAGAGUAACAUCUGAUACUUCAGGGGUAGGUGGUGAUGAACCCCGAGAAGCAUGUAUGGUGGACACCAAUUCGAAUGAGUGGUAACUUGAUCCAAACCGUGAAUCCGGUUCUACAUAGGGGAUAGCCGUCUCAUGAUAGAUCCGGUGGUCUUCCUCACCAUACACGGUGACCAACUUCUUUUCGAUCACAAAUUUCACAGCUUGAUGUAGACUUGAAGGUACUGCUCCAGCAGUGUGUAUCCAGGGACGACCUAGCAAGAAAUUGAAUGCAGUAGGGAUGUCUAGCACUUGGAAGGGAAUGUUGAAGACGACCGGCCCUAUUUGGACAUCGAGAUGGAUUUCCCCGAUCACCUCCUUUUUUGUUCCAUCGAAAGCUCGCACCGAAGUCUUCACGGCAUGUAUCCUUGACGGGUCUACCUUAAGAUGGUGAAGAGUGGCCAACGGACAAAUGUUCAGAGCGGACCCAUUAUCGAUGAGCACUUGGGACAUAUGAGAAGACUUGUGCUUAACGGAUAUGUAGAGUGCUUUGUUAUGUCCCCUGCCUUCGAGAGGGAAUUCCUCAUCAGAGAAGGCAAUCAAAUCCUUGAGAAGGACCGAUCCCAUGAAUUCUUCUAGCUUGUAUGCUUCCACAAUCUCUGGCACAUGGAUUUCACUCAACACCUUCAUUAGUGACUUUUGAUGCACGGGGGACGUCAUCAAGAGCUCGAGUAGGGAGAUCUGAGUAGGCAUCUUUCAUAGUUGGUCAACCACGUUAUACUUGCUUGCUUUGAUUACGGCCAGAAACUCCUUAGCCUCUUCAUUGGUGACCGGCUUUGCAGGUUGAGUAAUGGCUUGACCAUAAGUCCGUCCAGACCUUGUAACAAGGUCCACAUCCAAGUCAUAGGACCAAGGCACUGCCUUAUUAUUGACAUACUCAUACGACUGAGGCACCUCUAUCACUAUCUCUUCGUCAAAUGCAUCCUCUAAUGGGGGCAUGUCUUCAAGCGAAGGAUCAACCUCUUUCUUAUCAGCAUCAAGUGUAGCCUGCUCCUCCUCCCAAUCGAUGAUGAGGUGGGAGAUAGUAGAAACUAUACAGUUAUGAUCAGCAUACACAAUGAUGCCAUCAUCCAUCAUUUUGGCAACUCUUUCUCUCAUCACCGAUAGAGGGACAUCUUCCUAACCUCGGUAAUACCCAGCUCUCACUAGCCCGUUGUAGGCAUCUGCCACGUGCACCUUUGAGUUCCUGAUCCGUCCGACUUCAGGUUCCAGGAUGGCAUUCACUGUACCCUCAUGCUUUGGUAGCAGAUUUUUUUGAACGUUCGGCCGAGUAGUUUGAAAUGAAAAGGCCUUUGUAUCUAAGAUAUUCUGGAUCUUGUGCUUGAGAGUGAAACAUUCAUCAGUUGAAUGCCCUAGUUCACCGUUAUGGUAGUCACACUUCUUCGUCGGGUCGUAACCACGAAUGCCUUCACGGUUAAGGCACUUUGGUUCACUAGUAAGCAAAUCUUUCUUUUGGAGGACUGUCAGUACUUGGGAUGGAGACCUAGGGAGAGGGGAGAACUGCCUUCUAUUAUUCGCUUGGGCGAAUGAUUGACGGCCAGCGGGUUGUUGUUGUCUUGGGUUCACUUGUAUAGCCAGGGCACGUUUGGCACUUUCUUGGCUAUAAGCCACAUUUACAUCCACGGCCGCUUCCUUCUCCUUCUUAGUAGAGAACCUUUUAGUAGAUGGCUCAGAAAACCAUCAUUCCCUUAUUCCCAUCUCAAUCUGUUCUCCUACAGGAAUAAGCUGAUUGAAGCUCUCAACAUAUGUACUGGCCAUUCGAUUACGGAACUCAGAUGGAAGGGUCUUCACGAACAACUUCAUCAACUCCUUGUUGGUAGGCUCAAGAGUAAUUUGAGCCGCCAAGUUUCUCCAUCUCAUAGCAUAUUCUUUAAAUGACUCACUCCUUUUUUUUUCCAUCCGCUCCAGGUCUUCUUGGGAAGGCGCGAUGUCCAUGUUGAACUUGUACUGCUUGAGGAAUGCGUCCGCCACUUCGUUCCAGGUUUCGAGGAGGUUUACGUUCUUCAUCACGUACCAGUUUAGUGUGGGCCCGGUCAAACUCGCAUGAAACGAUUGGAUCAUAAGGGGCUCAUUUUUUACGUGCUAGGCCAUGCGCACGUGGUACAUCUACAAAUGAGACUUCGGACAAGAUGUCCCGUUGUACUUCUCGAACUUUGGCAUUUUGAACUUGCUCGGCAUUUUAACCUUCUCAUAGAUCGAGAGGUCAAACGGGAGUGAGCUUUGAGACUCCUGCAGCUGUCUCACUUUCUCUUCUAGCUUUGCAACGCGGUCAUCCUGAUCUGUCUUGGGAACCAUGUCAUCUUCUAGCUCGGGCAUUUCGUCAUCACUCAUUUGGGCCCUAUUUGCUUGCCUCGGGACUAUUAUCUCGGGGAGAGCGGGUGGAGGAAUCCGGUUCAUUUGGAGGGAUUGGAGUUGAGCUAUUACGAGCUGCAAGGAAGUAGCUAAUUGUUUGAGUUGAUCUUUCACAGAGGACAUGCGAUUGCGCAUCUUGUUUUGGUCAGCCAUCUUAGCCUUUGAUCGCGUAAUAAUGGGAGAGCGCGGAGGAUCCGUUAUUACAUGAUGGAAUAAAUGAAUACACAUAAGUACUUCAUAUAAAACAAUGUCGGUCCAUGACGAAAGUCUAACUGCUUUUAUUCAUUAUUAAAAUUGUUUGACAUUAAUAAUGUAAAGAGCUUGCAAAAUCUUAAACUAAUCAAGUAAACGACUCAACUUCCUAAACAUUAAGUUAAAGUAAAAAGAUCGAAUAGAUUCAAGCCACUUUAUUUGGCCUGAUCUAUAAAUAUAUGGGAAGCCAAUGCUCGACGUAAUUGCCUCUUCUCUUUAGCGUCUUUCUUGGCUUGCUCUUCAAGUUCUUCAAUCUUCCUCUUGUGAUGACUAAGCUCUACUUGUCGAGUGGGCUUCUCGGUCACAUUUGGCACCUUUGGGAGAUACUCGGUCGGAAUCUUGUGCUGACGGAUGUAUCGAGCCGUGGCAUAGUAAGUCUUCUCCUUCCCCUCGAGCUCAUCUUCAGGUAAGCUCAACUUUUGUUCACGACAUGCAAUCCAAACUUGUUCGAUACAGCGGAGUUCCUUCUUGUGAUCGCCAUCCUUAGCAGUGAAUUGGACUUGGAACAAACCCAGCUUGAGAGGGGGCGGUAGAUCCUGCACAACUCGAUAUUGACGAGCCACUCGGAGUGGGUAGUAGGAAGUGACAUCGGUGAUCCCCAAUAGCGGGAUUGGCUCAUCAUCCCAUGAGAGAGACGUGCUUUGGAGACUUGGAACCAUUUAGCAUGCCAUAGAAAAAUCUUGGUAUUCGGAUUUUUCAAUAAUUUGACCCAUUUUGAGUAAGAAAGAUUUGGAGUUUGAUCCCGACGAUUUUUAAAUACUUCGAUGGGAUGAUGGAAAUCAGUGACAUUAAUAAUAUCCAUGCGAAUAUUGACCUUACUCAUAUGAGAAAAGAACCAGAUUUGUAAAAGCUCGAUUGGUGCACGAAAGGUUUUAUCUUCAUCUUCCUUAAAUCGGGUGAGUGACAAAAAUGUUUCAGCUGGAAUAGUAUUGACAAAACUGAUCUUAGCACACACUUGCUUGACCACCCAUGCGAUAGAUGGAUUAAUGGCGCCCUUAUGAAGAGGGAAAAUAACAAAUCCGAAAAAAGCUAGGAGGAAAAUCCUACUUUUUAAGAGAGUGUUAGCACUGGCAAAAAUCUGAUCUAGGAAAGAAAAAGGACAUGCAAGACAAUUAUCUUUCAGCACUCUUUUUAUCAAAUUCUUACCCAUCUUAAGAAAAUCUGACAAAAUUGAUUAUGGUUCUAAUCCGAUGGGUGGAUUUAUUAAUUCCAAUUCCAAGGGUUUUCCUAUGGCGAUGCUGUAUUCUUCGAGAGUCGGAGUCAGCUCAUGCUUACCGAAUAUAAAUGUUGAUGUUCGGGGGCUCCAGAAAUGAGCAAGUGCUUGCAUGAUGCCACUCUGGACAUCAACGUCAAGGAGGGGAACAAGGCGACCAAGUUUGCUCUCUACAUAGCUUUGGCCCUCGUGGCCUAGAAGAUCCCACCAUGAUUUGAGUUCAACCUUUGGUGCUGGCACAAAUCGAAUGUCGGAUUUUCCCAUUGUUUAUAGACCAGGACUCGACCAACCUAAUGUCAUGGACCAACCAAAUACAUAAAUAAAUAAAUUGCAAGAGUAAAGGAUAGUGAGCUUACUUUACCAUACGAUUAAAGCAACCACAUAGACAAACGCAUGAAGUGUGAGGCUCGAUUUCUAUCUAGACGGGCUUAGCAAAGUGGAGUUAAAAGGGUGGGAUGACUUAGUUGCAGCCUCGCAUACCAAGUCACGUCCUCCUAACUUCCGGCUCAGUCAUGAAUCAUACCCCAAUGCAACGCAGCCUCGCGGGCAGAGGUAAACAUUCUUGACACCAAGAAAAACUUUCGGGAUUGAGUUGGGCAACCUCUAUUACGUGGCCUCGCGGUCGAAGUUGUAUCCAACUCAAUACCAUCAUAAAUAUCCUAGUGCAGCCCAGGUCUGGCGGCAGGUUGUGUGUGCAAUAAUGUAGUGUUGAAUGCAAGACAUGCACAACAAUUUAGAUCAAGCAACACUUCAACAUGAAAAUAAACCAUACAUUCCUUCACCUCCCUACAAAACAGAGGUUAACAAACGCUUCCCCUUAUACCUCCCAAUCUGCAAAAAACAUUUAACACCUUAAAUGUUAGGGACGUACCUGGGAUCCUCGCUGCCAAACAAAAACAUUUUUUCAAAAGAAAAGAAAAAUUGGCCUAAGUCCACUAAGAGUUUCUACUCAAAUCCCCAGCGGAGUCGCCAAGCUGUCGCGACCAAAAUUUUUCGGGUGUGAACCACCUAGGGUUUGGCUAAUGGAUUGUUAAGCCUAAACUUAACUCGGACUCUCCCAAGCCCAUACCAAUUCGCGACUUAGGUUCAAGUUCUUAACACGCAAUUGAUUUUUUAAUCAGGAGUCGCCACUAAUCUAUUUUUUUGGUGGGUCGAUUAGUAACCCAAGUAAAGUAAUGGGAGUUUCACUUUACUCCUACGAACCAGAGACUAUGGGUACAUGAACUUGGUUACACUAGAUUUCUCUAAUGCCAUUUCGGUACCAUUCUUUUAUUUUCAAAAAAUGUUUUUGCAGGCAGCUUAAAUUGAUUUUAAAUUUAUUUUCUAACAUGUGAGGUGAUCACACGGGUGCGCAAUCCACCAAUUUAACACCUAGAUAAACAAUAAAUAAAUUGCAAAAACUUACCUCAAAGCAACGAAAGCAUCUGCAAUAUUAAGUUAAAAACCGUAUUAACAACCCUAGAUAUGGUUUCUAAUUACCACGCAAUUUCUUUUUUUGUUUUCACUUAAUUAAUGAAAAUCAUGCAAUAUGCAAUGCAAUAUUAACUAAAUGACCUAAUUCUAAUGACAUGCAAUUUCUAGUUAAAUAGGCCUAGCAAAAAUACUAAAUGACAUGCAUCCCAGUGAAUCUAGCCCUAAUGACGUGCAUAUGCCAUUUUUCUCUUUUUCCUAAAAUAAUGCAUUUUAUCAUAAACAAUAAAACUAAUUUAACCUAUGGCAUUUUUUUUUUGUAUUUUUCAGGUGAAAUGUGAAAAUUACCUAAUUAGAUUAAGAUCCUAUUUAAUUUAUAUUAGGAAUUAGGUUGAGCCAAAUCCUAAUUUAAACUAAAACAUUAUCUUAACCUAAAUAAUCCUAAAAUGCAAUAUAUCUAAAAAAUACCUAAACUUAUAACAAAUUAAGAAAAAAUAUUAUCUAGAAUUGAACUAAGUGCAAUUUAGUCCUAAUAUGCAAUGACGUGCAAAAUAUACUUUAACACUACAUGACAUGUAUAUGAUGAUUUUUGUUUUGUUUUUGUUUAAUUUCGAAAUUAAUAAUUGCCAAAUAAUUAAACAUGCAAUCCAAAUUACAAAUCUAGCAACCUAAAUUGAGUGAUUUGAUUUUUUAUUUUAUUUUAGAUUUUAAAAUUCGAAAUAAGAUUCCUAUUCUAAAUAUGUAAGCCCUAAAACAUGCAAUAUUAUAACCCAAACACAUUUCAAGAUAAACAAAGCGAUCAUGACAAGCUAAACCAAGGAUAUCACACAUCAUUCAGAUCAUAGGUAAAAUUUCGCUAGUAAAAUCGAUAAAUUGAUCUUAAGCCUUAAAGAUCAAAAUAUCAAUUUUAUUCCCGCUUGAUUAAUUACUUCAUCUAAAGCCUUAUAGACGAAAUAAAAAUCCAAGCGCGGUUGCAAAUCAGGUGAUAUGUUGGAAUUUCCAAUCAUAUAUUAAAGACUAAUUAUACUAAAAAAACAAGAUAAAGUAAAAUAAAAUAAAAUAAAAUAAAAAGAAAAAACUACCUGAUGUGCUUUCUUUUGUUUUUUUAAAGCAAAGAUGAUGGUUGCGUUGGUAAGGGGAUUCAUCGGCAGCAGACUCUGGCGAGAGCAGCAAGGGUAGCUACCGGCGAGGGACUCCAGCGAAGCAGGGCGACGGUGAGCAGCGGCGGGGGAGGCUCCGGUGGCGUCGGGUUGCGGCAGGGACAGCAACGCGGCGACGGCUAAGUGUUGGGCGGAGGCGAGCAGGGGCGAUGUGGUCUCCGGGUUGCGGGCUUCAAAUGGUGGGGCGCUGCAGGGACGGCAGGGGGCCUCGGGUAGCUGGUGUGGCGAGGUCGGGAGCGGCAGGCUUUGGAGCUCCGGCGUCGGCUGGGCAGGAGUGCGAUUGUCGGGGCGAACCUCGCGAGCGGAGCAGGGGCGUUGCAGUGGCGCGGCUUCGGCGAGGGCGGGAGCGCGGUCGUCGAGACGCCUGGUGUUCGGUGCUGCUGGUGCGGAGUGACGAUGAGUGGCGAAUGGAGUGGCUGUGUUGCUGCGUGUCAGGGGCGAAUCCGACGAGGCGACGGUGGCGGAGGCGCGGUGAUGCUCGGGGGGAGCGGCGAGACCGGUAGCAGGGCGUCGCGGGUCACGUGGAGCGGGAGCAGCAGGAGCGUCUCGGUGUCAAGGCAGCUGCGGCGGCAGCCGGCACAGCGAAGGCUGGCAGGUGGAACGGUGAGGGCAGACUCGGAGAAGAUGAUGAACAAGAGAUUUUUUUUUUUCCUUCUCUCUCUUCUCUCACGUCACUUCCUACGUCUCCUCUCUCUAUCUCAUCUCUCUGCUGUAUUUUCUUUUUGACUUUUGACUUCUCCCUUCUCCCCAAAACUAAAGAAUUGAUUUUCUUUGGGGUCUUUGAGCUUAAAAACCCGAAAGAAAAAGCACUCCUCACGUUUUUUGCUCUGAAAAUUCUUUCUUGAAUUUACUCUCGAAUUUUUUUGAAAAUCGCCCCCCUCAUACGAAAAAUGAAGCUAUCUUUUAUACUAAUUCCGAACGGCCGCUUUGUAUGGCAUUUUUCAAGUUUCCAUCUUCUGUCGCAUUCAAUCAAAGUUGCAAAUCAGAGCAUGAUUUCACAAUCAGCUCGAUCUUGCUUAGAUUUCUUCCAAUUUGCAAAAUUCUUGCCUCUUAUUCACUUGAUUUUAAAUUGCUUCUACAUUUAACGAAAUCCGAAUGCUCAUCAAAAUUGCAAAUUUCCAUGCAUAAUCAAUCAAAUAAAUUUCCCCUAUCUUUUUCAUUUUUUUUCCUUUUAUUUGUUCCAAUGCAAUUUUUAUUUUCCCUAUUUUCCUAGAUUUGCUAAAAACAGGUGUCAACAGUCUUCCAACAAAAAAUGCAUAAUUCACUAUUUAAUUCUUAGUGAUCGGAAAUGAAUAUUAAAUUAGUGAUGUAUGAUCAUGGAUCGGUAAUGUGCUGGCCUUGAACCAUACGGAUGGAUUAGAUGUCGACUGGAAUGAGCUCAGGGAUAGACUUGGCUAUUUCAUCACUAAUUUUAAAGUCCAUGAGUGCCUUGGCUUAGUGCUAGGCCUUGGCCAGCCUUAAGAUUAGCCUUGAAUCGAUUGAAAAACAACCAACCACUAACCCUUUAGGCCGACUGAUCGUCUAAGGGAAUGGUUUGGUUGAGUGUUGGACACAAUUGUCGAACCUCGGGUGUAUGUGAUUCAGUUUUUCGAGGUGUAUCUAAUGAUCUUUUUCUCGGCUUCGAAACUAACUUAGACGAUGGAAUUCUCUAGACCACAUUCUUGAUGAAGAAAAUGACAAAAUUGAAGAAAACUCUAGAACACCCUCAUUAAUGAAGGAGGUGAUGUAUUCUUUGACUUUUCAAAAGUAAUGAUGAGGUUGAGGAUUUUCUUGAUGGGCAAGAAAAAGAUGGCAUACACAUGGACCAAUCGGAGAGCGAUACAUGAACUCCUCAUAAUGACUGAAGAAUCUAGAAGCCAAGUUGGCAACUUUGAUGGCAUCUUAUCCAAACUUCAUUAAAUGUGGGGUACAAGUGGUCCAAUGAAAUGGUGAAAAGCGAGCCAUCAUCGAUGAUGCCUGCAAGCUAAAUUUGCUAAGUGUGACCUUUUAGGCGUCCAACUCAUUCCUUAGGCGUAAUAAUUAGACAAAUAGACUUGCCAACUAAGGAUCUUAGGUAGGACACUUGGAAAAUUGAGAAUGGACCAUUUAGCUCGAUAAUGAUGGCGCCGAGUAGUAUAAAUGGGAGGACCCCUCCUCAUUUUUCACCAUGCCAUUCACUUUCUCAUUUACUCCUCCAUUUUCUUUUUCUCGGCCUUACAUCCUCAAUCCCUCAAGCUAAUUUAAGUUAGUCUUCAAGGUUCACCAAGGUAAGUAAGAUUCCUCUUUUUUCUCUACGAAGUAGAUCCCAUUGUUGAGACUAGUUAAGUGCCCACCUGUCAAGCCAUGGGUAGUGUAGAAUGUCUUUUGUUGAUCUUGCUUGCUAUAGGACAUGUCCGUGUGAUUGAGUCAUUUAUGUCCAGAAUGAAACUGAGGUUCGAUUGGAUUGAGUUCAUCACAAGACAAAAUCGCCAAGCCAUAAAGCCUUGGUUUUGGCAUAGAUAAGAUGCCGGGUCCAAGUCUCGCUUCGUGUGGAAAUCGCUCGAGAUUGCAAGGUCAUAAAUCGACAUUGAGGCAUGUCAAUUUUAUGCCUUGAUCGAUAUGGAGAUCGUCCAAAUCCACGAGGUCUUGGUAAGGCACCAAAGCAUGCCGAUUUCCAUAGUUCAAAUGGACGCGGGGCCAUUGUACUUGGCGUUGGAUCAAACUACGAGCUGAGGCUCAUUCAUGAUACAUGUUUAUUUACAUCGGGUCAAAGCUGAGGUCCAUCAAGCUUGGGAUCGUCACUUAAGCAAGGUGUACCAAAGCCUCAAGGUCUUGAAUCGGUAUUGAGGCAUACUGUUUCCGAGCCUUGUUUGGUGCGGGGAUUGAUGCUAAGUGAUUGAUUCAAGUUACGGACCAAAGACUGUUCCCGACAUAUUUGCUAAUGAAGUAUAGGAAAUUCAUGAUACAUAUGAAUGAAUGAGCACACCUUCGGGUCAUGCAUGUGUCAGAUAAGAGAAAAGACAAGAACUGACUUGUAUGAUGCAUUUAUGCAUGUACUUAAAGAGAAAAAGUGCCCAUCACCACACAUCGUUGGCGGUGAUGCGUUGUUAAUUGAAUGAGAUGCCUUAGUUGAGUCAGGAUGCUUGGGUCUUGAACCCAGAAGCCUUGAGAAGCUAGCAACCAGAAGUCUUGGUCGAGUCAAGAUGCCCUGGUCGAGCUAGGAAGUCUAGCUAAAAGUUGGAAGCCCUAGUUGAGCUGGGAGGGCUUGAUUGAGCCAGGAUGACGCUAAAUGAAUUUGCAUAAGUGUCGGUAUAUGCAUAAGUAUGAUAUGUUGAUAUAUUUAUUGAUAAGCCAAAUGUAAGUAUGCAUUGAAGCAUGUUGCGAUGGACAUUUGCAUGUAGUCAAGGGUAGCAACAAGUUUGUUAUUGAUGUACCAUCAAUAUUGUUUGCGAGUGUUGUACUUACUAAGCUUCGAUGAUGAGAUGCUUUCCUAGUAGAGAACUAGGAAUUUUACUUACUAAGUUUCCCCAAAACUCACUCCUUUAUCUUUCAGUUUUGUAAGCAUGAAAGUCUUAUGUUAGUGUUGAGAGCUGCAAUCAUGCUAGAAGAGAUAGGAAUUCUCUUGGCCAAAUGGAAAACUUAUUGAGUGAUGCAAAAAGAAGAGAGGGCCCGUAAAGAAAUGGUUUGUAAAAGUAUUAUUAUAAUAUAAAUCAGUGUGUUUUGUGUGAUGUAUGUCCCACACUUCCAGCUAUUGUUUGUUUGGGGAGUUAUUUGUUUACGUUUUCACAUGUGCAUGAUAACAAGAUAAAAAGAAUUGGAACAUCGACGAGCUUGGGAUGUCGUGAAAAUAACCCUUGUUGGAGUUGGGAUUGUGACACCUUGCACUUGCCCUCACUCACUUUAGGCAUGGGUGGCUACUAUACCAGCCUAUCCUGCGGUAGCCAAGACCGAAAUAUCGACAUGGAGUCUAUCUUCCCCACCAUGAGGCCUCCUAAUCCCACCUCUAAUUUUGUCUUCCUGAGGUGGAGGGAAUAGGGGGUGACAUUGCGGGUCUCCCACCCCUGAGCGGUUCUCCCACCUGUUUCUUUCCCAUGAGCCUUUUAAGGACUUGCUCAGGUUCAUAAUUCGAGAAAUUAUAAGUACCAAAAGAAGUUAUUCAGUUGUCGGUCGCUCUUCUCCUUGCAUGAAGACCGGAGGAUUUUUUUUUUUUUUUGGAUGAAUUGGGCUGCUAGACAUGUCACAACACAAACUUUGUUACAUCAAUUUGCUCAAUUUGGAUUGUGGCCAUUAUUAUAUGUUCGGUUCACAAACAAGCAGCAUUGAUGCUACGUAUAGAAGGAUUGUACCUCUCAAUUCCUAUGAGCAGAUGCAUUACAAGACUACACUGCUAAAAAAACUUAUUGAGAUCCCUUGGAUAAACGAAAUCACGUUGAAGGUGCAAAGUUUAUCAGUAAUUAAGCGAUUGGACAACCGCUUUGAAAAACUAGUAAAAGUUCAAUUAAAAUCGAUAUAUCAUGCAAUAGGAGCCUAGAUUGGAAUCCGAGUGGACAAGUAUGUUCUAUCUGAUAACUGCUUUUGUUAGUUUGAUAAGAAACGGACUUGCGAAUUAGGCAGGAACCAUUCUUUUACAUUUUCUGUUAAACUAACUUUUAGGACUGUUUCUGGCACUUAACAAACAAAUAAAAAUAAAAUAUAUUGCACACUCGGAUUCCGCACCAAUCUACUCAAAUAUAUUCUUAUAAUUUGUUAACUAAAAGAAGCCGACUCGUAAAGGAGAUACAGCCUGGAAGGGACAAUUGAUUCACGUCACAUUUUCUAAUACCUGAAACCGACCUUCGAUCCUGGAAAGAUUGUUUGGGAUUCAUAUAUAGGAGCACGAGGUUUUUCACUAUAGGUGUCCUCAAAUGCUGCCUGUCCAUACAUUGGAAAGGAGCUAAAAAAGAAAAGAAAGAAUACUUUGGUGGUCGAGGAAGUUCUAUAUGUGCCUUUAUCCAGGUUAUUCACUAGGUGUCCUCAAAUACUACCUGUCCGUACGUUGGAAAGGAGAUAAAAAGAAAAGAAAGAAUACUCUGGUAAUCGAGGAAGUUCUAUAUGUGCCUUUAUCCCUUGAUAUUUUUUUAAGUCUUGGACUUCAUACAUGGAAGAAUCCAUGUCAUAGAAAAUUCAUGAUGCUAAUGAAACUUGAGCUAUAAGAGAUGAGGGUGCAAUCCAGCUUACUUGAUUAAAUGUUCUCAAUUAUCAAAAGUUAAGCUCUCGAUAUGAGAAAAGUUCUUUUUCUAAUGAAUAUACGUACUGUUAUUAUUUUCAAAAUCAUGUGCAGAUAUGACAAUCUUUAAUUUCUCUCUAAUUAUCAAAUUAAGGACGUGUUUGAUAGCAAUAUCAAGUGUGUUCGAUCACCUCUGAUAACACAAAACUCAAUCAAUUGUUUUGGGUCUAAACAACUUCAUGCAACUAGUAAGGAAGGGAUUACUAAAUUAAUUAAGUUAUCAAAUACCCAAUGAAAAUUAAAGUAUCACUAAUGACAUUGCAAAACCUUUUUCCAAUAAUGUUCCCUAUUCCAUGCUUGGUAAGAAAUAAAAACAAGGGUGGUGUGUUAAGGAGUGAUGCUCAUGAGUAAGUAUUAGGCCACUAUAACUUCUUAUGAUUUCAAAACUCAAAAUGAUAUUAGCUUCUCCCAAGUCCUUCAUAUCAAAUUUAGAAGUCAAAAAGCAUUUCAUUAAAUCACAGUAUCAAUGAUUUUAAAAGAAUAAGCAUGUCAUCAACAUAUAAGCUAAUAAUUAUAGGUUCACUAUCAGCAGUUUUUGUUUAUACACAUUUAUCUACUUCAAUAGAGGAAAAUUCAUUGUUGACUAGAACUUAGUCAAUUUUCUCAUUCCAUUAUUUUGGUGCUUGCUUUAGGCCAUAUAAGACUUUAAGGGGGGAAAGUGUCAUACAAGUUCUAAGCCUAUUGCAUUUAUGUCAAUUUUAUUCUAAACAUUUUAUUUAUGCCAAUUUAGUCAUAAUCAUUUGACCUAGUGUCAAUUCAAUGUAUAUAUUUUGAUCUAGCACUAAUUCAGUUUUUUUAAGCUAUUUUUGGCCGGAUAUUACUGACGUUGACUCUAGUCAGCCUAUGUGGCAUGGUGGGUGUUAACUUGGAUAAAUUUUAAUAUUAUUUUAAUAUUUUUUGAAUUAUUUAUUCAUUUUUCCUUUUCUUUCUCUUUUUUUCCCCUUCCUCUUCCUCCAGCAGACCUUUGGCUAGCCUCGUCAGAUCUAGCGAGGGUAGAUCCUUGUCGGCCAUGGGAUUAAGUUGGCACUAAUAAAAGGUUUAUGACUAAAUUAGUAUCAACGUAAUAAGUUUACAAACUUUGUUUUCUUAGCCAGGAAGAGUACAUUGCUCAUGUUACUAAUGUUUAGUGUGGGAUUCUAAUUCAACAAGACCUAUAUGCUCUCGACAUAUCCUUAAAUUUGUUGAUUGAAAAUGCAAAGUCGGAAAGGUGAUUCAGCUAUUGCAAGAAUCAAUUCCAUCCAUAGCAUAUUCCUAAUAUGUACUUUGAACCAAUCUUAAAAUGAUAUUAUACGGUGUAUAAAUAGGAGUAUAAUAUGUUCACAUGUAUCUACGUCAGGCAAAGUGGAAAAGAAGAAUAUACUUUUUGGUAAUAAAAUUUUAGAAUUCGUUGAUAUUUUGGACUGUGCUAUUAUUAUGGAAGGUUCUAUUCUUAGCAUAAAAAAUCAUGAUGCUUAUAAACUCAAACUACAAGAAAAAUGUGGGCAUGACUCCAUUGCACUUCAUUUACUACCCUCACAGUCCCAAUUUGUCACGAGUUUGGCUCUGGAACUGUCUUUCAAAAUAUUCAGCAGGCGGCAAAAGUCUCCAAUAAUUAGCAUCACGCACGUGAAAGUGGAGGGUAUUGAGCUUGUAUAAUAGUAGGACGCUGAGAAGGCAUAGAGCAAGUCAAUGCCAUCCUAUAUUUUGAAGUACAGUAAAGGUGAAAAUUCUUCAAAAAUCAAAACUUUAGAAUUCUAGAACUUUUCCUCUUAAUUUUAGGACCAAGGUAGCAUUUCCUAGCAAUUACCUUUGGAAACCAUCUGAAUGUGGGUACUAAGAGCCUUCCUUUAUUCCUUCUACAUUGGCAUGGCACUUUCCAUGAGCUCUAUAUAAACUGAUCUUCGCCUUCGAACUUGAACACAAGAAAGAAACCAAAUCCAAAGCUUACACAAAACUUUGUUCUCUAGCUCACUCUCCUUCUACUAACUCACCUCAAUGGCACCUCAGGGAGAUCGCCUCGCUGAUAUUGGAAGGGAGGGUUUUGCACUACUAGACAUAUUUUAUGGUGGAGGAAAAUCAGGUCCAGCACCGAAGAAGCCAUGCAAUGUCCCACAGCAGCAUGCUCCCAUUCCCAACAACAAGAACAUAAUCGAUAGCGAGAAGGCCGCCGAAAGAUACAAAGGAGUGGUGGUCGUGGAGUCCCGCAAGAAGAAGAGGUUUGCCUGCUGAUGUUUUUAGGUUCUAGCGCUGUAACCGGAUGAACAAGUCCACGUCACUGUUUUCGUCAUACCAGUCAUUUCAAACUCUAGUACUGUGUUUUUUUAAUUUAUUUUAUUUUAAACUUUUGUUUUCUGGCCUUCUGAAGUUUAGCUGUGCACUAGGAUGUGUCUAAGCUAGUAAUUGGACUUGGGUUAUACUAAACACCCCGCGUUUUAUUCCUGUUUAGUUAGAAUAUCUAUGAUAUAACUAUUUACUUGAUUGGCGUGAAAAGAAUAUUCCAAUCGUUUCGACAGUGGAUGAUCACAACUUAAAUAACUUGCCAAAAACUAUCCUAGAACUACGUGGCCCAUUUAACACUCUGGUUCCAUUCUUGAGAUGCUCCUGCAUGAUUCAGUUCCUAAUAUUGACUAAGAUUUGAUAAAUACUUGCUGAAGCCGGAUCAUCCAAUUACGCAAGAUUCGGUUGUACAUCUAGCAAGCGCUUGCAACAUAUUGCAACAUAUAACUACACAGAUGGACCAUUCUUUGAUUUAUUGGUGCAAUUGCAUUUUUUUUCUUGUCUAGGAUGCUAACUAUUCUCUAGGAUCAAAAGUCACUAUUAUUGUAGUCGAGAAAUAUGUCCUCUAACUUCCAAGAUAUGCCAUCAAUUAUUCAGCUCCUAUUCAUAAAUUACAAGUAGCAAUCAUAAAAUAUCAGAGAUCCGCAUGUCAACAAGCAAAAGCUUCGACCAAAAAAAAAAAAAAAAACAAGCAAAAGCACGACCUUUACUUUUAGUGAAUUUAAAAGUGGUUCAUCUUAACCAACAGAACGAAAAGAAUAAAUGAAGGGGGACUCAUGAUGCACAUGUGAGGUUAACUCUGGGUGUCUCAGCUCAAAUACGCGUAGAUCUAAUUUUUAAGGCUCACGGAUUUCUCUUAAUUAUAAAGCAGUGCGCGUAAUCACUUUAGCAUGCUUUUUGGAUCCACUUUUGACUAGAAAGUUGGAAUUUAAACUUUUUUGCGUUGAUGAAGUUUCUCCGAUCUGUUGGUACCUGGUGGUGUGCAGAUGAAGGUUAGUAUGUGGCUACAAGCAGAAUAAUUAAGCUCUUGAAGAGAGAAUCAUUUGACUGGGAGGUUGUGAUAAGAGAAUCUUAAAACACUCAGAAAAGUUUCCACCGAGAGACGAUCAAUUUAAUGAAGCAAUAGAGUUGUUCCAGGCAUGCCAAACCGCUUUUACAUCCCUCCAAAAUCACCGAAGAUCUGAACCUAGAAAUUACAAGUACCAAAACAAGUGAUUCAGCUGCCGCUUGCUCCUCUCCUUGCAUGACGGCCGGAGGAUUCUUUAGAUGAGUCGAGCUGCUAAACAUGGCUCAGCACAAACUCGUUUCCUCAAUUUCGCUCAAUUUGGAUUGUGGCUAUUAUAGUGGGUUUAGCUCACUAAAAAGCAAUGUUGUCACUACAAAUAGGAUUGUACCUCUUAAAUCUCAUGAGCAGAUGCAUUAUGACCUUACACUGCUAAGAAAACUUAUUGAGAUCCCUUGAAGAAAAAAAUCACGUUGAGUGUACAAAAUAAUUGAUAAUUAAAAGAUUGGAGAGCCGCUUUUAAAAACUAGCAAGAUCAACUAGGGAUCGAUAUAUUAGGCAAUAGGGGUUUAGCUUGAAAUUCGAUGAGUUAAUUACGUUGGAAUCAUUCUUUCACAUUUUCUUUUACAUAGACUAACCUUUAUUAAUGUUUUUUGGGACUUAACCAACCAAAAAAAAAAAAAACAAAAAAAAAAUUAGUGCAUACUUUGUGGAAGCCCAUCGGGAGGGAAAAGUACCAAAAAAGUCAUAAACCUAUUGCAUUGGUACCAAUUUAAUCCUAAACUUUUUAAUUGGACCAAUUCAGUUAUAAACCUUUUUAUAUUGAUACCAAUUCAGUCCAUUCGGCCAAUUUUGGCCUGCCAGUGCUAACAUGGACAUCGGUCGAUGAUCGGACACUGACAUGGCAAUUUUUAAUUUUUUUUUUGAAUUUUUUCCUUUUUCUUUUCUUCCUUCUUUCUCCUUGGAUUGUUUUGACGGUGGACGGCGAGCCGUCAGCCAGGGUCGCGGCCCUCGCCUAGCCUCUCCUAAGGCUAUGGGCGAGGCCAGGCGAGGGCUGCGAUCCUCACUUACGGCUGGCAAGGGCCGCGAGGGCUUCGCGGCCCUCGCUUGGCCUCGCCCAGAUCUGGGCGAGGCCGGCCUUCCCUUGGCCUUGCCGUGGGCGAUGGUCGCCUUCAUCCGCGGCAAGGCCAGGGCGAGGCUGAGCGAGGGCCGCGAAGCCCUUGCCAGCCACCGGGGAGGGUUGCGGCCCUCACUUGGCCUCGCCCAGGGCCACGGGCGAGGCGGCUUUGCUCAAAUCUAGGCCAGGCCAGCCUCGCCCUGGCCUUGCCACGGGCGAUGGCCACCUUUGCCCACGGCAAGGCCUGCGAGGGCCGCGUUGGCCUCAUCGGCCAUGGGCAAGGCCACCUUCGCCCACGGCAAGGCUAGGGUGAGGCCAGCCUUGCCUUGGCCGUGGUCGGGCCCUUGCCUAUGGCUGGCAAGGCCAAGGCAAGGCUGGCCUUGCCUAAAUCUAGGCGAAGCUGCCUUGUUGAUGGUCCUGGGAGAGGCCGGGCUAGUCCAAGGAGGAAGAAGGAAGAAAAGAAAAGGAAAAAGAAAAGAAAAAGAAAAAAAGGAAAAGAAAUAGGAAAAAAUUCAAAAAAAUAUUUAAAAAAAUUGCCACGUUAGUGUCUGGUCACGGGCCAAUGUCCACGUUAGCGUCAGCACGCCAAAAUUGGCCGGAUGGACUGAAUUGGUACCGAUGUAAAAAAGUUUAGGACUAAAUUGAUUCAAUUGAAAAAUUUAUAACUGAAUUGAUACUAAUGUAAUAGGUUUAGGACUUUUUUGGUACUUUUCUCCCAUCGGAAUGCUGCUGGUGGUUGGCUCGUCGUGGAGGUUAUUCAUGUUGCGGAGAUGAGGGAGAAGGGAAGGUUCAUUCCGAUGGCUGCUUGGCACAAUAAAACCCUGGAGUUACUUCAAAUGGAAGGACAAACUGAUCGAUGAAAAGGGGUUUGGCGAAAGCGAAGGUCUUCCUAAAGAUAAAAAGUCUCAGACUGUUUGAAGGCAGGAGCUCAGUCACUGAUGGGCAACGGCGAAUGUGUCAUUGGCGCACGCAGUGUCUUACCCAAAAACGCUAGAGUUGGGGAAAGCUUUGGAGAAGAAAAUUUUCCGCCUGAGCAUUUUAGUCCGUUCUGUCUGAUCUGAUCAAAUUAGGCUUACAAAGAUAUCAAGUCUGUUUAUCGAGACUUAAUACGAACUCAAUCGUACUUGAUGGUGUUCAGAAUCAAACCUCUGUCCCUCCCAGUGUGGCUUUACAAAACUAAUCGAUGAAUAUGAGUCGUUAAAACAUGAUUAAAUGGACUAAAAGAGUCACGUUUUUUUUUUUUUUUAAGUAUUAUUUAUAGAUGAAUAGGUAGGUCUUACUCGCUUAUAAGACGAACAUAGUUAAAGAUGAUAACCGAUACUCUAAACUAUGUACUUUGUGCAUCUGUUGAUAUUCAACCAAGUCGUGAUUUCCAGCCUUACUCUUCACGACAAACUGAGAAAUGAUAACGCUUAAUUUUAUAUAAAUUUAAAAAAGAAGGAGAAUUAAGAUCCACUUGACAGAGUUAAUGCUUGAUGGACAUUAAUAAGGUUUAAAUUAUAGGGUUAAGUGGGAAUUUGAUUCCACACCAAUCUACUCAGACAUAUCUUGAUAAUUUGUUAACCAAAAGAGGCCGACUUGGAAAGUAGAUUCAAAUUGGAAGGGACAAUUGGUUCUCAACACGUGUCCUAAAUACUUUAAGCCCUCCUUCGGACUUGAAAAGAUUGUUUAGGAUUCAUCAAUAGACUAGAAGGUUGUCCAAAUCAAGGACGGGCGGUGACCGAGGAAGUUGUGCCUGCGGCUUCAUCCCUUGACAGAAUGUGUUUGUACAAGCGUCGAAAUCAGGCAAAGGAGAAAAGAAGAAGAAUAUAAUCUAAGGUUUGGCAGUUGUAGCUAUGCUUUAUACUAUACCUGCAAUGAUAUGGAAGGUACUGUUCUUAGCAUUAAAAGAUCACCGUGCUAACGAAACUUGAACGACAAGAAGAGGUGGGCACGAUUCCAUACGACUUCAUUAUCUAUCCACAGUCCCAAUUUGUCAAAAGUUUGGCUCCCGAACCAUUUUUCGAGAUCAUUUGCGGACGAGAAAGGCCUUCUUAAUCUCUCUCUCUAAAUACCUAGUUAUUGAAGUCUACUAGUCAUUAUAAUUGAUGGAAUAAGCUCCAUCAGACUUGCUGCGAUUCAACUGACCUCACUGGAAAUAUGUCAUCGGGCCAAUAAAACGCGGGUACUAGGAGCCUUCCUUUAUUCCUUCCGCAUUUCCGUGGCACUAUCCAUGAGCUCUAUAUAAACUGAUCUUGGCCUUCAAACUCGAACACAAGAAAGAAACCAAUCCAAAGCCCACGCAUAAGUUUCUAGUUUAACUCACUCUCCUUCUACUAUCUCACCCGCAAAUGGCACCUCAUGCCAAUCGUCUCGCCGAUAUCGGAAGGGAGGGUUUUGCUCUAGUGGACAGAUUUUAUGGUGAAGGGACAUCGGGUCCAGUACCAAAGAAGCAAUACAAAGUCCCAAAGCAGUAUGCUUCUGUUCCCAGUGACAAGAACGCAAUCGAUAGCAAGAAGGCCGCCGAAAAGUACAAAGGAACGGUGGUCACGAAGUACUACAAGAAGUUUAUUGGCUGGCGUUUCUAGGUUCUAGCACUGUAAACGUGUAAUGGUUCGAGUGACUUCCUAGAAGGUAGAGGUAACCGGAUGAAUAAGUCAUUGUCGUGGUUUUCACGGUUUUCCUCAGUCACUUCGAACUCUAGUACUGUGUUUAUGUAUAUCUUUUGUUUUUCAGCUUUCUGAAGUUUAAUUGUAUGCUUGGACAUGUCUAAGCUUUUAAUUGGACCCAUUUUACACUAUAUUCGACUUUUUAUUCCUCUCCUUG